GAUGAACGCUAGCGAUAUGCCUAACACAUGCAAGUUGAGGGGCAGCAUAGAGUAGCAAUACUUUGAUGGCGACCGGCGCACGGGUGAGUAACACGUAUGCAACCUACCUACAUCAGGGGAAUAACCCGGAGAAAUUCGGACUAAUACCGCAUAAUACAGGGAUGCCGCAUGGCAAUAUUGGUUAAAGAUUUAUCGGAUGUAGAUGGGCAUGCGUUCCAUUAGCUAGUUGGUAAGGUAACGGCUUACCAAGGCAACGAUGGAUAGGGGAACUAAGAGGUUUGUCCCCCACACUGGAACUGAGACACGGACCAGACUCCUACGGGAGGCAGCAGUGAGGAAUAUUGGUCAAUGGACGAGAGUCUGAACCAGCCAAAUCGCGUGAAGGAAGACUGCCCUACGGGUUGUAAACUUCUUUUGUACAGGAAUAAAAGACAUUACGUGUAAUGUAUUGCAUGUACUGUACGAAUAAGCAUCGGCUAACUCCGUGCCAGCAGCCGCAGUAA
rnacentral:rRNA from 1 species